rnacentral:rRNA from 1 species
UACGGAGGGUGCAAGCGUUAAUCGGAAUUACUGGGCGUAAAGCGUGCGCAGGCGGUUUUGUAAGUCAGAUGUGAAAUCCCCGGGCUUAACCUGGGAACUGCGUUUGAAACUACAAGGCUAGAGUGUGGCAGAGGGGGGUGGAAUUCCACGUGUAGCAGUGAAAUGCGUAGAUAUCUGGAGGAACACCGGUGGCGAAGGCGGCAUCCUGGACCGAGAUUGACGCUGAUGCGCGAAAGCCAGGGGAGCAAACGGG